rnacentral:rRNA from 1 species
GUCUACGGCCACACUGGACUGAACAUGCCUGAUUCUAUCUGAUCGCAGAAGCUAAGCAGUCUUGGGCCUGGCUAGUAUGUGGAUGGAAGACUGCCUGGAAAUCUCAGGUGCCGCUGGACU